UGAACUUUGUAUUGUUUUUCAUUAUUUUUUUUUUUAAUUACUAAAUAAUAAUUAUACUUUCUGACAGUAUCAGCCUAAAGGGCGAAACGAUUGUUAAUAACGAGGAUUAACAGCUUAACUAACGGUAAUAAAUAUAGAGUAUAUUCAGUCAGAUCGACCUCAACGCGGUUCUCCUUGAACGAGCUUACUAUUCCAUUUUCAUCCAAUUACAAAUAUAUUAUAGGGGAUGACGCGGUCGAGAAUCCAAAAGUUCGGGGUGAGGGGGGGAGCUGUCAAAAACUUAUCCUGGAACAUCAUGUACACUAAACUGGACCUGCAUACUGAUUAUUUAUAUUUAUGGACACAAAAACUUGAUUAGUAAAGCGUUUGUUUUAAUACUAUCUAGUUAAAGGUUUAUGAUCAAGAUGUACUUUAAGAUAAGCAAACACACUAUGCCUAGGGAUGGUUCAUUGAAAAAAAUAGAUGUCAUUUAAGCAACGUCCCGAAAUAUCGACAAUGUUCAAGG